rnacentral:lncRNA from 1 species
UGAUGUCAUAUUGCACUUCCUAAGGCUUCCACUAGAUGUCAACAGUCAUUAGAACCUCGUUUGAGGCUUCUAGAAUACAAUUUGAUUGAAUAAUACCCGGAACAGUAUGUGGUCGACCUGGGGUCAUUGCCUUAACUCGCGCGCACUCAAGGAUUAGCCAUUUUUCUUUUUCUUCUGUAAUGAAUCUGCUAUUGUCCGGUUGGAAUAUUAUCGCAAUUCUACGAUUAUAACACCCUAAAGAUUGAUUGUGAACAUGGUUUGACAUGUUACUACAAACGCUGAGGGAACUUUAUAACUUUUGGUUGACGGUGGAUAGAUGCAUUUUGGAAUGGGGAUCUGGACGCGCCAUCAAAACGGAUUUAUUUCGACAUAAAUUAUGUACUUUAUCGAACAAAUGAACAUUUCUUGUGGAAGUGGGAGACCUUCUGAGUGCAUUCAUCCGAAGAUCAGCAAAGGUCACCAGGCUGCUCGUUAUGGCGCACACCUGUCACCAUCAUCAGACUCACCUGGACUCCAUCACUUCCCUGAUUACCUUCCCUAUAGAUGUCACUCCCUUUGGUUCCUUCCCCAGGCGUUAUUGUUUCUGUUUCUGUGUUAUGUCUGUGCGUUGUUUGUGUUUCUUAUUUUGUAUUAUGUUGUGUUUAUUUAUUAAAACACUCACUCCCUGAACUUGCUUCCCAACUCUCAGCGCACAUCAUCACACAUUCUUAUGGAGGACUGCUCAUACUGGGGAGUGUCAAUAUGGCCGACUGUUGGCUUCAAAGCCUCUCAUUGUCCAGUACAUAGUAUUAACAAUCCAGGUGUCACGUCCUGACCAGUAAAAGGGGUUGUUUGUUAUUAUAGUUUGGUCAGGGCGUGGCAGGGGGGGUUUGUUUAGUGUGUUUCGUUUUUUGGGGGAAAUGUUCUAUUUCUAUGUCUGUGUCUAUUUAUUCUAUUUCUAUGCUUAGUUUAUUGGGUUGACCUUCAAUUGGAGGCAGCUGUUCCUCGUUGCCUCUAAUUGAAGGUCCUAUUUAAUAGGGGUGUUUGUUCAUUGGGAUUGGUGGGUAAUUGUUUCUCCGUAUAGUCAUUUGUCCUUGCGGGACUGUUUUUCG